rnacentral:lncRNA from 1 species
CUGGGUCGGAAGUCAGCCCGAAUGCGAUUGCUCCAGGAAGCUGAAAUCCAAGAAGCCAUUCUUGGGCUGUAGUUCAUUUUUCUGAAUCUGAAGCUGAAGUUAUUUACGGACGAAUUGCCACCGCCACGGAAAACGUUUCGCUCACCUCCUCCUCGCUCGAUUGCGCAGGGACCCGCUUGCUCACAUCUCCCUCCCCUUCGUGCAGUUCCGCCCCAGAUGGGCUCCUUCUAGCCGGCCCAACAUGGCAACCAGCAGGCCUUCAGCGCCCGUGCUGGGCUGCCAGCUCAUCCAAGCGAUGAGAGAAGCUACCACUGCUCCAGAACGUUUUCUGUUCGCCAUCUGAAGCAAGAAGUGACCGAAGAAGCUAGAUAUGAGAAGUUCUGAAGAAGCUAGAUAGUUUCAGAACAGGCC